AUUGAACGCUGGCGGCAUGCCUUACACAUGCAAGGUCGAACGGCAGCACGGGGAGCAAUCCUGGUGGCGAGUGGCGAACGGGUGAGUAAUAUAUCGGAACGUGCCCGGUCGUGGGGGAUAACGUAGCGAAAGCUACGCUAAUACCGCAUACGAUCUACGGAUGAAAGCGGGGGAUCGCAAGACCUCGCGCGAUUGGAGCGGCCGAUAUCAGAUUAGGUAGUUGGUGAGGUAAAGGCUCACCAAGCCGACGAUCUGUAGCUGGUCUGAGAGGAUGAUCAGCCACACUGGGACUGAGACACGGCCCAGACUCCUACGGGAGGCAGCAGUGGGGAAUUUUGGACAAUGGGCGCAAGCCUGAUCCAGCAAUGCCGCGUGCAGGAUGAAGGCCUUCGGGUUGUAAACUGCUUUGUACGGAACGAAACGGUGAGCUCUAAUACAGUUUGCUAAUGACGGUACCGUAAGAAUAAGCACCGGCUAACUACGUG
rnacentral:rRNA from 1 species